rnacentral:rRNA from 1 species
UACGUAGGGUGCGAGCGUUAUUCGGAAUUACUGGGCGUAAAGCGUGCGCAGGCGGUUGUGUAAGACAGACGUGAAAUCCCCGGGCUCAACCUGGGAACUGCGUUUGUGACUGCACGGCUAGAGUACGGCAGAGGGGGGUGGAAUUCCACGUGUAGCAGUGAAAUGCGUAGAGAUGUGGAGGAACACCGAUGGCGAAGGCAGCCCCCUGGGCCAGUACUGACGCUCAUGCACGAAAGCGUGGGGAGCAAAC